rnacentral:snRNA from 1 species
AGCUUUGCGCAGUGGCAGUAUCGUAGCCAAUGAGGUUUAUCCGAGGCGUGAUUAUUGCUAAUUGAAAAAAAAAAAAGAAUAAUAGAUAAACAGUUGUAAUCUAUGUUAAGGGUAUAGACAC